rnacentral:pre_miRNA from 1 species
AUUUUCUAAUUUGGCCAUAAAUAUGUCUGCUAGCAUUGGGCCCGUCAAAUUGACGGAGUGGUCAUGGGUUCCCCACUGGGCCCAUUGCUAGCAGACAUAUUUAUGGCCAAAUUAGAAAAUACAG